rnacentral:rRNA from 1 species
GAAACCCGGUGAUCUAGCCAUGGGCAGGUUGAAGGUUGGGUAACACUAACUGGAGGACCGAACCGACUAAUGUUGAAAAAUUAGCGGAUGACUUGUGGCUGGGGGUGAAAGGCCAAUCAAACCGGGAGAUAGCUGGUUCUCCCCGAAAGCUAUUUAGGUAGCGCCUCGUGAAUUCAUCUCCGGGGGUAGAGCACUGUUUCGGCAAGGGGGUCAUCCCGACUUACCAACCCGAUGCAAACUGCGAAUACCGGAGAAUGUUAUCACGGGAGACACACGGCGGGUGCUAACGUCCGUCGUGAAGAGGGAAACAACCCAGACCGCCAGCUAAGGUCCCAAAGUCAUGGUUAAGUGGGAAACGAUGUGGGAAGGCCCAGACAGCCAGGAUGUUGGCUUAGAAGCAGCCAUCAUUUAAAGAAAGCGUAAUAGCUCACUGGUCGAGUCGGCCUGCGCGGAAGAUGUAACGGGGCUAAACCAUGCACCGAAGCUGCGGCAGCGACACUAUGUGUUGUUGGGUAGGGGAGCGUUCUGUAAGCCUGUGAAGGUGGCCUGUGAGGGUUGCUGGAGGUAUCAGAAGUGCGAAUGCUGACAUAAGUAACGAUAAAGCGGGUGAAAAGCCCGCUCGCCGGAAGACCAAGGGUUCCUGUCCAACGUUAAUCGGGGCAGGGUGAGUCGACCCCUAAGGCGAGGCCGAAAGGCGUAGUCGAUGGGAAACAGGUUAAUAUUCCUGUACUUGGUGUUACUGCGAAGGGGGGACGGAGAAGGCUAUGUUGGCCGGGCGACGGUUGUCCCGGUUUAAGCGUGUAGGCUGGUUUUCCAGGCAAAUCCGGAAAACCAAGGCUGAGGCGUGAUGACGAGGCACUACGGUGCUGAAGCGACAAAUGCCCUGCUUCCAGGAAAAGCCUCUAAGCAUCAGGUAACAUCAAAUCGUACCCCAAACCGACACAGGUGGUCAGGUAGAGAAUACCAAGGCGCUUGAGAGAACUCGGGUGAAGGAACUAGGCAAAAUGGUGCCGUAACUUCGGGAGAAGGCACGCUGAUAUGUAGGUGAAGCGACUUGCUCGUGGAGCUGAAAUCAGUCGAAGAUACCAGCUGGCUGCAACUGUUUAUUAAAAACACAGCACUGUGCAAACACGAAAGUGGACGUAUACGGUGUGACGCCUGCCCGGUGCCGGAAGGUUAAUUGAUGGGGUUAGCGGCAACGCGAAGCUCUUGAUCGAAGCCCCGGUAAACGGCGGCCGUAACUAUAACGGUCCUAAGGUAGCGAAAUUCCUUGUCGGGUAAGUUCCGACCUGCACGAAUGGCGUAAUGAUGGCCAGGCUGUCUCCACCCGAGACUCAGUGAAAUUGAACUCGCUGUGAAGAUGCAGUGUACCCGCGGCAAGACGGAAAGACCCCGUGAACCUUUACUAUAGCUUGACACUGAACAUUGAGCCUUGAUGUGUAGGAUAGGUGGGAGGCUUUGAAGUGUGGACGCCAGUCUGCAUGGAGCCGACCUUGAAAUACCACCCUUUAAUGUUUGAUGUUCUAACGUUGGCCCGUAAUCCGGGUUGCGGACAGUGUCUGGUGGGUAGUUUGACUGGGGCGGUCUCCUCCUAAAGAGUAACGGAGGAGCACGAAGGUUGGCUAAUCCUGGUCGGACAUCAGGAGGUUAGUGCAAUGGCAUAAGCCAGCUUGACUGCGAGCGUGACGGCGCGAGCAGGUGCGAAAGCAGGUCAUAGUG